rnacentral:lncRNA from 1 species
AGAGUCCCUCUUUUAGUUUUUAUUACCUCUGGGUAGGAAAAUACUGUUACAUUCUUUUGUAUAUCCAAGCCUUAUUCAUCAGAGAAUCUUUUUCUGGAUUACAUUCUGAUUUUUCUUAAUUUUUUUUUCUUUAAAACAGUUUGAAAGUCUGUGUAGAUUAUUUUCAUUGGUUUUCUCUUAUUAAUGCACCUAUUUAAUCCUUUCUAAAAUGCCAUAUGUUAACCUAUGUUGGCCUUAAAAUUAUGUUCAGACGCUGCUUAAAAACCCAGACCAUUGCAGAAUCUUAAGAACUCAAGGCUGUUUGAAUGUUACAGAUACAGAUCUGAAGAAAUUCAGUUUCAAAUGGGCUUUCUUCAGAUGUGGAGGAAACACUGCAGCCCAAAAGAACAGUACUUCCUCUCAACUGUAUUGAUAUGUAAAAUAGCACCUUUGGGCUGACAUGAAAGGAAAUUGGUUUCCGUCUUUCUUAAUUAAAAUGGCUGCUCUGUCCAAUACAGUGGAUUU